rnacentral:rRNA from 1 species
UACGUAGGGAGCGAGCGUUGUCCGGAUUUACUGGGUGUAAAGGGUGCGUAGGCGGGUAUGCAAGUCAGAAGUGAAAUGCAUGGGCUUAACCCAUGAACUGCUUUUGAAACUGCGUAUCUUGAGUGAAGUAGAGGUAGGCGGAAUUCCCGGUGUAGCGGUGAAAUGCGUAGAGAUCGGGAGGAACACCAGUGGCGAAGGCGGCCUACUGGGCUUUAACUGACGCUGAAGCACGAAAGCGUGGGUAGCAAACAGG